rnacentral:tRNA from 1 species
AGUUCUAUACUUUAAAUUAAAAGACCUGAUUUGCAAUCAACCAUUGAGCCCUAAAACUCUAGAACUUCCA